rnacentral:rRNA from 1 species
ACGAUCGCUGGCGGCGUGCUUCACACAUGCAAGUCGAACGGAAAGGCCUUUUCGGAGGUACUCGAGUGGCGAACGGGUGAGUAACACGUGGGUGAUCUGCCCUGCACUCUGGGAUAAGCCUGGGAAACUGGGUCUAAUACCGGAUAGGACCGCACUUUAGUGUGUGUGGUGGAAAGUUUUUUCGGUGUAGGAUGAGCCCGCGGCCUAUCAGCUUGUUGGUGGGGUAAUGGCCUACCAAGGCGGCGACGGGUAGCCGGACUGAGAGGUUGGUCGGCCACAUUGGGACUGAGAUACGGCCCAGACUCCUACGGGAGGCAGCAGUGGGGAAUAUUGCACAAUGGGCGCAAGCCUGAUGCAGCGACGCCGCGUGGGGGAUGACGGCCUUCGGGUUGUAAACUCCUUUCGCCAGGGACGAAGCGUUUUGUGACGGUACCUGGAGAAGAAGCACCGGCUAACUACGUG